rnacentral:rRNA from 1 species
GUCAGCUGCUGAACCCCCAGCUGUUCAGACCAGGUAAUCCAUAUGAAGUUCAGUAGUUUUGGUGCACUACUUGGAUGGGAGACCUACUGGGAAAGUUGGGUUGCUGCUGACG